GGAAAAAUGAGCUGUGAGGUUCAAAGCAGGAAUGGCCAUUGUCUGCUAGGGCAAUCAGAGAAGGCUUCCCGGAGGACACCGCGUCUGAGAGGGCCUGAAAAAAGUGCUCAGAAGACAUCAGUUGGAUUGAUUGCCUGAGUUGUAGGCCACAUUUCACUAAUUUAUUAGCUGAUGGACUUCUGGAUGGGGAAAUGAGGGAGCACAUGCAUGUGGAAGCCAGAGGCCAGCCUUGGCUGUCCUUUCUCAGGUAGUCUAUGCAUUCGUCAGAAGCAGACAACUGAUCAAGAAAAGCCGGAUGCUUUGCCUUCAACCUUUAUUUGUGGAACAGUCUUGAGGAACUAUUCAUUGUCUGGUCUUGUAGAACCAUUCUCCUUAAAAGGCAUCAGAAACUUCCCAGGGUCUUCAGGAUAAAAUUUAAUGGUUAAAUCCAGGGCAACUGUUAACACCAUGUGUCUAUAUGAGUGUUAGGCUAGCUCCACCCUUGCCCCUACUACAACGUGAGGUCUCCAAAUCAGUAACCCUUUCUUUUGGGCAGCCCCACCUCUCUUCCCUACUACCCUCUCAUGCUCUCCAAGGCAUUUCCUUGCAUUCCCUACAGCCCUAGAACAACCAUUGGCCCGUUAAAAGUCACAAUAAUAGGAUGUAUGCUGAGUGAGUUAGGUGAGAAGAUGGUUAGUGAAAUGAGAGAAUGCAAGGCUACUUCGUUCUACGAAGUCACGUAACUUAGGUCAGUUGGUCAAAGCGAGGCUCUCUUCUGCUGCCCAUUUCAAACAGUCCAAUCACCACAGUGUCCUGAGCCAGCUGAGGUGAGCUUUGAGCUUAGUCAAGUAUUCAAAACAAAUGCUACUAGCCUUUUAAGUUUUAACUCAUGGCACAUUUGCAUCUGUUUGAAUCCUUUGGGUUUUAAGCAAAAUAACCUAACUCGAAUUCUGCUGUCUGAAUAUGGACUCUGUGACUCAGAGUCCUGUUAGGGAGGCUACACUGAAACUGCAAGAACAGCGGGAGUGGAAGAACCCUGCGGUCUGACACACCCUCCCUUCCCACCCCUGACACAGAUGCAGAAAGGGCAAAGGUCCCUCUCUAGCCAGGACAGGAAAGCAUUGCUGAGGGAGAGGAUGGAGGCAACCGGAAGUGGGCUUGCAGUGGGGUAUCCGGCCUGGCCCAGCCUGUGGGAGACAGGAUGCAAGAGAGCCGGGCUCCACAGUUCCCAGUUAAUACAGACUGUUUCCUAUUUUCUGUAGCAUGUGUGGUGGCCCAUAUGAUGAGCCAGCGAUAAAUACAUUGUCCUGAAAUCUAACCGAGAGGGAGGAAACGCCUGGUAUUUAUGAUAUGCCCUUCUGCUUAUCCAUGGAGAAAGUUGUCGGGGGAGAUAAAGACAGCAAAGACCAUGUGCGCAGAGAUAUUUGUAACAAGACACUGAGUUACAGAGGGCAGAUUGAAGUGCGGAGCCGCUCCGAAAUAGGAUGCAGGCUCCGAGUCAGGGCUUAAGCUCCAUCUUGGGUCUUGCCCUCAACUUUCCUCCCUCCCGUUUCAGGCCCCUCCUAGCUGCAGGUCACAGGACCACAGCCACAGCUUUCCGGCCUCACUUAGCUCCAACGCCGUCACUACUAAGGGACACAGUUUCCCCAGGAUGCCUGCUCAGCGGUCCAUUGCUUCUUCCUCUGGCUCUCUCUCCCUACAUUCUCUCUGGUUACUGAAUAAUCAGAUCUUUGUCGAUUGUGGUUGAGUAAAGGGCACAGGAAACAGCCUCUCA